rnacentral:misc_RNA from 1 species
GAUGAAGAACGUAGCGAAAUGCGAUAAGUAAUGUGAAUUGCAGAAUUCAGUGAAUCAUCGAAUCUUUGAACGCACAUUGCGCCCGCCAGUAUUCUGGCGGGCAUGCCUGUUCGAGCGUCAUUUCAACCCUCAGGGCCCUUUUGGACCUGGCGUUGGGGCUCGGCCGCUACCCUGCGGCCGUCCCCGAAAGAUAGUGGCGGUCUCGCUGUAGCCUCCUCUGCGUAGUAGUUACAUCUCGCACUGGAACGCGGCGCGGCCAUGCCGUUAAACACCCCACUUCUCAAGGUUGACCUCGGAUCAGGUAGGAAUACCCGCUGAACUUAAGCAUAUCAAUAAGCGGAGGA